UUUUAUACAUAAAAAGCGCUACUGUACCCUCCCCAUUUCCAACAACCACCUCUUCCUGUCUUCUCCCGCCCCUCUCCUUCUACACAUCGAACUACCAGCAACAAAAUCAACAAAUUCCCACUUCACAGGUUCGGAUUUGUAAACGUAGAGGGUUUGGAUUUGUAAACAUAGGCUUCUAUUGGAAACUAGGGUUCCGAUUUGAAAAGGAUUUUGCUAUCAUCAACCGAUUCAUCCUUCACAUCUCCAUUCCUCUGCUAUAUUAGUUUUAUGGCCAUUUUGAUUCAUCAUGAAAGAAUGCUACUUCAAUAACAGACAGUCCCUGCAAACUGCAGAAACGCUGCAGCCUACUUCAAUAACACGUAUGAUGAUAACUGGUUAUUAAUAACCAGUCCAAAAAAUGGCCAGCAACCUGCAGAAACGUUGCAGCCUACAGUGCCGAAAAACGCUGCAGUUUUUUAAGGUUGACUUAAUUGCACGUUUGAUCAAAUGGUUCGUACAUUCUUUCGCAAGUUGUUGAGAUACCUAUCUUCGGAUGAUGAUAGCGAUGAUGAUCUUUAUGAGGAUGUUGAAGAACCUAAUUGAACAUCAAUGGCUACUCUAUUCCCAACAAUAAACGAUGUCGCGCUAUAUUAGAUUGUUUUGUGAAUGUUAUGAGUUUGAUUUAGAAAUAUGUUAUGUGAUGAUCAUUAGAAUUAUAUAUGUAUGAGUAGAACUUAUUAGCUCAACGUUUGUUUAAGUUUGUAUCUAUUUGGACAAUUGACUUGUAAUAUGUUACCAUUUUUAUAAAAUGUAA